rnacentral:rRNA from 1 species
GACGAACGCUGGCGGCGUGCUUAACACAUGCAAGUCGAACGGAAAGGCCUCUUUCGGGGGGUACUCGAGUGGCGAACGGGUGAGUAACACGUGAGUAACCUGCCCUUGACUUUGGGAUAACUUCAGGAAACUGGGGCUAAUACCGGAUAGGAGCUCCUGCUGCAUGGUGGGGGUUGGAAAGUUUCGGCGGUUGGGGAUGGACUCGCGGCUUAUCCGCUUGUUGGUGGGGUAGUGGCUUACCAAGGCUUUGACGGGUAGCCGGCCUGAGGGGGUGACCGGCCACAUUGGGACUGAGAUACGGCCCAGACUCCUACGGGAGGCAGCAGUGGGGAAUAUUGCACAAUGGGUGGAAGCCUGAUGCAGCAACGCCGUGUGCGGGAUGACGGCCUUCGGGUUGUAAACCGCUUUCGCUCAUGACGAAGCUUUGUGUGACGGUAGUGGGUAAAGAAGCACCGGCUAACUACGUG